UGACUAUGAAACCAAAGAGGCGAAGGGCGCCUGACAUUGCUGAGAACGCAGACGUUGCUGUGGUAUUUAACCAGACGGGUGUUCCAGACAUUACAAAACGACAGGAAUUCUUUAUGUAAACACAGCGCGUAAUAAACGCAACAAAGACUACACAGCAGUGACCUAGUGACAGACAUUCCAUUGGACAGUAUGUAAUCUCGCUCAAAAUCUCAACAACCUCCUUCAUCUUCCUAGACCAAUUCAUAUUCCUGGAGGAAGGUUUGAAGCAUUGUCAUUUAAUAUGGAGAUGUGGGAAAUUGACACAAGUUUUUUUACCUAUAGAAUUGUGAUAGUUUACACAGAUGUACUUGUAUGAACAUUUUGUAUUGAAUGGGCUUUAUAUGAUGUAUACUUGACUACAUUCCAUUUAUAUAUACCGCUCGGUACCAGAUCUAUGUAUGUAUGUAAGAUGUAUACAUGAAAUGUGUGUGUGGCUGAGUUUGUAUGGAAACCAAGGGAGUUCAUUUAUUUAAGGAGCUUAUGGGACCAAAUGGUUGUGCAUCAUAUAAAUUAGAAAUAUUUUUACACAUUUCCCCCUAAAUGUCAUUGAGUCUUCUUAUUAAUAUAUUUCUUUUCCACAUCUUGUGAUUAUGAUCAUAUGUAUACAGAUUAUGUACAUGUAUGUGUGUGUGUGUGGAUGUUUAUUUUACUUACCUGUAGGAUUUUUUUAUACCUGUAUAUUGAUUGGUUGACCUCUGUGUAUUAUUUAUCAUGUGUAUACCAGUGCCAUUAUCUCAUUGUAUCUAUCAUCCAUCAACUUCCAUACAAACAUAUCAAUCAUUAAUUCUUUUUUAUAUAAUACAAUAAACAUGAGG
rnacentral:misc_RNA from 1 species